rnacentral:rRNA from 1 species
CCAAGGAGUCUAACAUGUAUGCGAGUCAUUGGGAAUUACUAAACCCAAAGGCAUAAUGAAAGUAAAGAUCCAAUUUUAUGGAUAUGAGGAGAGAUCAUGGCUUUAAGUCUUGAUAUUCCGCAAGGUUUAUUGAGUAAAGUAUGCGCAUCUCCUGGAUGUCUUAACCUUCGAAGGUAGGGCAUACCUAGAGCAUACACGUUGGGACCCGAAAGAUGGUGAACUAUGCUUGGUCAGAACGAAGUCAGGGGAAACCCUGAUGGAGGUUCGUAGCGAUUCUGACGUGCAAAUCGAUCGUCGGAACUGAGUAUAGGGGCGAAAGACUAAUCGAACCAUCUA